rnacentral:rRNA from 1 species
GUCUACAUCCAUGCCACCCUGAACAAGCUCGAUCCAGUCUGAUCUCAGAAGCUAAGCAGGGUCAGGCCUGGUUAAUACUUGGAUGGGAGACCACCUAGGAAGACCAGGCGUAAAAA